UGAAUAGAGACUUUGUAGAUGUUCUCUGCUUCUAACUGUCAUUUGUUUGACAUCAGUUAGCUUUUGGCCUCAAAUCAGGUAGGACUACCCGCUGAACUUAAGCAUAUCAUUAAGCGGAGGAAAAGAAACUAACAAGGAUUCCCCUAGUAACUGCGAGUGAAGCGGGAAGAGCUCAAAUUUAAAAUCUGGCAGCUUUGCUGUCCGAGUUGUAAUCUGUAGAAGCAUUUUCUGCAUUGGACCGUGUACAAGUCUCUUGGAAUAGAGCGUCAUAGAGGGUGAGAAUCCCGUCCAUGACACGGACUGCCAUUGCUUUGUGAUAUGCUCUCAAAGAGUCGAGUUGUUUGGGAAUGCAGCUCAAAAUGGGUGGUAAAUUCCAUCUAAGGCUAAAUAUAGGCGAGAGACCGAUAGCGAACAAGUACCGUGAGGGAAAGAUGAAAAGCACUUUGGAAAGAGAGUUAAACAGUACGUGAAAUUGUUGAAAGGGAAACGCUUGAAGUCAGUCACAUCUUGUGGGACUCAGCUUUGCCUAUUUGGCUGGUGUAUUUCCUGUAGGAUGGGUCAACAUCAAUCUUGGUCAGUGGAUAAAGGAUGAGGGAAUGUAGCACCUUUGCAGGUGUGUUAUAGCCCUCUUUCAUAUACAUUGACUGGGAUUGAGGAUUGCAGCAUGCCCUUUGAGGCCAGUAAACUCAUGUAACAUGCUUAGGAUGUUGACAAAAUGGCUUUAAGCGACCCGUCUUG
rnacentral:rRNA from 1 species